rnacentral:rRNA from 1 species
AACCAGCACCUCAAGUGGUCAGGAUGAUUAUUGGGCCUAAAGCAUCCGUAGCCUGUUCUGUAAGUUUUCGGUUAAAUCUAUACGCUCAACGUAUAGGCUGCCGAAAAUACUGCAGAACUAGGGAGUGGGAGAGGUAGACGGUACUCGGUAGGAAGGGGUAAAAUCCUUUGAUCUAUUGAUGACCACCUGUGGCGAAGGCGGUCUACCAGAACACGUUCGACGGUGAGGGAUGAAAGCUGGGGGAGCAAACCGGAUUAGAUACCCGGGUAGUCCCAGCUGUAAACGAUGCAAACUCGAUGAUGCGUUGGCUUAUUGCUAGCGCAGUGUCGCAGGGAAGCCGUUAAGUUUGCCGCCUGGGAAGUACGUACGCAAGUAUGAAACUUAA